AAUACAUUGACUUUACAUUGAGGUUAAAUACAUUGACUUUACAUUGAGGUUAAAUACAUUGACUUUACAUUGAGGUUAAAUACAUUGUCUUUACACUGGAGGUUAAAUACAUUGACUUUACAUUGAGGUUAAAUACAUUGACUUUACAUUGAGGUUAAAUACAUUGACUUUACAUUGAGGUUAAAUACAUUGACUUUACAUUGAGGUUAAAUACAUUGUCUUUACACUGGAGGUUAAAUACAUUGACUUUACAUUGAGGUUAAAUACAUUGACUUUACAUUGAGGUUAAAUACAUUGUCUUUACACUGGAGGUUAAAUACAUUGACUUUACAUUGAGGUUAAAUACAUUGACUUUACAUUGAGGUUAAAUACAUUGACUUUACAUUGAGGUUAAAUACAUUGACUUUACAUUGAGGUUAAUUACAUUGACUUUACAUUGAGGUUAAAU